rnacentral:rRNA from 1 species
GGUCAAGAGAGAGAGGGCACACGGGGGAUGCCUAGGUGCCGGAAGCCGAAGAAGGGCGUGGCAAGACUGCGAAAAGCCUCGGUGAGCUGUCUAGCAAGCAUAGCCGGGGAUACCCGAAUGGGGCAACCCACCCGCGGUAAUGCGUGGGUAUCCUGUUGAGAGGUCAGCAGGAGGGUAAGCGGGGGAACUGAAACAUCUAAGUACCCCGAGGAGAGGAGAGUAUUCCCUUAGUAGCGGCGAGCGAAGGGGGAACAGCCCAAACCGUGCAUACUGAGUGGUCGGCGGGCCUAUGUAUGCGUGGUGUUGUAAGUCCUGACGUGGCGUUCUGCCGGGCGCCGACGGAGUUACAAACUGCACAUCUAGCCGAAGGUCCCUGGAAAGGGCCGCCGCAGGGGGUGAGAGUCCCGUAGGCGAAAGGUGAUGCGGCUCCGGUCGGGUACUUGAGUACCCCGGGACACGAGGAAUCCUGGGGGAAGCUGGGGGGACCACCUCCCAAGGCUAAAUACUUCCGGCGACCGAUAGUGAAGAGUACCGUGAGGGAAAGGUGAAAAGCACCCCGGGAGGGGAGUGAAACAGCACCUGAAACCGCGUGCCUACAAGCCGUCACAGGCGGGGGGGCGAGCAGCCCCCCGGCUGCUGGCGUGCCUAUUGAAGAAUGAGCCGGCGAGUUAAUCUCAGUAGCGUUUAGGUUAAGCGACUCAGUCGUGGAGCCGGAGCGAAAGCGAGUCUUAAUAGGGCGGAUAGUUGCUGGGAUUAGACCCGAAACCGGGUGAGCUACCCAUGGCC